CAAUAAAGCCUGGUAUUUUCAAAGAAUCAGCUCUGCAGCAGUUGGGAAAUAGACUUCAAUGAAAUUUCGCUCCCUGGUAAACAUCACAACUAUUUGCUUGUGUUGAAUGAGAAAUGGAAAAACAGAUCCUACAAGUCAUGUGGAAUUGUAAGGGACCCCAAAAAUCAAAACAGUUUUGAAAAGCAAAAAUUACAUUGGAUGACUCAAACUUACUACAAACUUACGAUGGGAAAAGAGAGCCUAGAGACAGAUGGAACUUGCCUUAGAGGAAGAUGGGCAAAUGGAUUGGACAGUUCAAAUGGAAGAUCAUGAGCUCCUGGAGGGCAGAAGCUGUAGUUUAUUCAUCUCUAUCCCCCAUGGACUGCGUGCAGGGCCCUGCACAUCGUAAGCACUCAAUAACUGCUGGUUGAAUUGAAUUAUUACUCUCCUCCACUGUUGUUGUGAUUGGCAUUCAUUCAUUUAGUCCAUUUGCCCCUUAGGAAUCUCCUGCCAAGACCCAAAAGUAAAGACUCACAA